UACAGAGGAGCCAAGCGUUGUCCGGAUUUACUGGGCGUAAAGAGCGCGUAGGCGGCUCGUUAAGUGAGACGUGAAAGCUGUGGGCUCAACCCACAAACCGCUUUUCAUACUGGCGAGCUGGAGUGAUGCAGAGGUGGAUAGAAUUCCCGGUGUAGCGGUGAAAUGCGUUGAUAUCGGGAGGAAUACCCGUGGCGAAGGCGGUCCACUGGGCAGCAACUGACGCUGAGGCGCGAAAGCGUGGGUAGCAAACAGG
rnacentral:rRNA from 1 species